rnacentral:rRNA from 1 species
CAGUCGCCGCGGUAAUACAGAGGGUGCGAGCGUUAAUCGGAUUUACUAAGCGUAAAGCGUGCGUAGGCGGCUUCUUAAGUCGGAUGUGAAAUCCCUGAGCUUAACUUAGGAAUUGCAUUCGAUACUGGGAAGCUAGAGUAUGGGAGAGGAUGGUAGAAUUCCAGGUGUAGCGGUGAAAUGCGUAGAGAUCUGGAGGAAUACCGAUGGCGAAGGCAGCCAUCUGGCCUAAUACUGACGCUGAGGUACGAAAGCAUGGGGAGCAAAUAGGAUUAGAUACCCCUGUAGUCCCUGUCUCUUAUAC